GGGGAAUGGCGGGUGCUAUACAUGCAAGUCGAACGCUUCUUUUUCCACCGGAGCUUGCUCCACCGGAAAAAGAGGAGUGGCGAACGGGUGAGUAACACGUGGGUAACCUGCCCAUCAGAAGGGGAUAACACUUGGAAACAGGUGCUAAUACCGUAUAACAAUCAAAACCGCAUGGUUUUGAUUUGAAAGGCGCUUUCGGGUGUCGCUGAUGGAUGGACCCGCGGUGCAUUAGCUAGUUGGUGAGGUAACGGCUCACCAAGGCCACGAUGCAUAGCCGACCUGAGAGGGUGAUCGGCCACAUUGGGACUGAGACACGGCCCAAACUCCUACGGGAGGCAGCAGUAGGGAAUCUUCGGCAAUGGACGAAAGUCUGACCGAGCAACGCCGCGUGAGUGAAGAAGGUUUUCGGAUCGUAAAACUCUGUUGUUAGAGAAGAACAAGGAUGAGAGUAACUGUUCAUCCCUUGACGGUAUCUAACCAGAAAGCCACGGCUAACUACGUGCCAGCAGCCGCGGUAAUACGUAGGUGGCAAGCGUUGUCCGGAUUUAUUGGGCGUAAAGCGAGCGCAGGCGGUUUCUUAAGUCUGAUGUGAAAGCCCCCGGCUCAACCGGGGAGGGUCAUUGGAAACUGGGAGACUUGAGUGCAGAAGAGGAGAGUGGAAUUCCAUGUGUAGCGGUGAAAUGCGUAGAUAUAUGGAGGAACACCAGUGGCGAAGGCGGCUCUCUGGUCUGUAACUGACGCUGAGGCUCGAAAGCGUGGGGAGCAAACAGGAUUAGAUACCCUGGUAGUCCACGCCGUAAACGAUGAGUGCUAAGUGUUGGAGGGUUUCCGCCCUUCAGUGCUGCAGCUAACGCAUUAAGCACUCCGCCUGGGGAGUACGACCGCAAGGUUGAAACUCAAAGGAAUUGACGGGGCCCGCACAAGCGGUGGAGCAUGUGGUUUAAUUCGAAGCAACGCGAAGAACCUUACCAGUCUUGACAUCCUUUGACCACCUCUAGAG
rnacentral:rRNA from 1 species